rnacentral:rRNA from 1 species
CCUACGGGUGGCAGCAGUGAGGAAUAUUGGUCAAUGGACGAGAGUCUGAACCAGCCAAGUAGCGUGAAGGAUGACUGCCCUAUGGGUUGUAAACUUCUUUUAUAUGGGAAUAAAACGUUCCACGUGUGGGAUUUUGUAUGUACCAUAUGAAUAAGGAUCGGCUAACUCCGUGCCAGCAGCCGCGGUAAUACGGAGGAUCCGAGCGUUAUCCGGAUUUAUUGGGUUUAAAGGGAGCGUAGGUGGAUUGUUAAGUCAGUUGUGAAAGUUUGCGGCUCAACCGUAAAAUUGCAGUUGAAACUGGCAGUCUUGAGUACAGUAGAGGUGGGCGGAAUUCGUGGUGUAGCGGUGAAAUGCUUAGAUAUCAUGAAGAACUCCGAUCGCGAAGGCAAGUGUCCGGGGUGCAACUGACGCUGAGGCUCGAAAGUGCGGGUAUCAAACAGGAUUAGAUACCCUUGUAGUC